rnacentral:rRNA from 1 species
CACGUGAGCAAUCUGCCUUUCAGAGGGGGAUACCGAUUGGAAACGAUCGUUAAUACCGCAUAAUAUAAUUGAACCGCAUGAUUUGAUUAUCAAAGAUUUAUCGCUGAAAGAUGAGCUCGCGUCUGAUUAGCUAGUUGGUAAGGUAACGGCUUACCAAGGCGACGAUCAGUAGCCGGACUGAGAGGUUGAUCGGCCACAUUGGGACUGAGACACGGCCCAGACUCCUACGGGAGGCAGCAGUGGGGAAUAUUGCACAAUGGAGGAAACUCUGAUGCAGCGAUGCCGCGUGAGGGAAGAAGGUUUUAGGAUUGUAAACCUCUGUCUUCAGGGACGAAAAAAGACGGUACCUGAGGAGGAAGCUCCGGCUAACUACGUGCCAGCAGCCGCGGUAAUACGUAGGGAGCGAGCGUUGUCCGGAAUUACUGGGUGUAAAGGGAGCGUA